UGCAAGUCGAGCGAACGGACGAGAAGCUUGCUUCUCUGAUGUUAGCGGCGGACGGGUGAGUAACACGUGGAUAACCUACCUAUAAGACUGGGAUAACUUCGGGAAACCGGAGCUAAUACCGGAUAAUAUUUUGAACCGCAUGGUUCAAAAGUGGAAGACGGUCUUGCUGUCACUUAUAGAUGGAUCCGCGCUGCAUUAGCUAGUUGGUAAGGUAACGGCUUACCAAGGCAACGAUGCAUAGCCGACCUGAGAGGGUGAUCGGCCACACUGGAACUGAGACACGGUCCAGACUCCUACGGGAGGCAGCAGUAGGGAAUCUUCCGCAAUGGGCGAAAGCCUGACGGAGCAACGCCGCGUGAGUGAUGAAGGUCUUCGGAUCGUAAAACUCUGUUAUUAGGGAAGAACAUAUGUGUAAGUAACUGUGCACAUCUUGACGGUACCUAAUCAGAAAGCCACGGCUAACUACGUGCCAGCAGCCGCGGUAAUACGUAGGUGGCAAGCGUUAUCCGGAAUUAUUGGGCGUAAAGCGCGCGUAGGCGGUUUUUUAAGUCUGAUGUGAAAGCCCACGGCUCAACCGUGGAGGGUCAUUGGAAACUGGAAAACUUGAGUGCAGAAGAGGAAAGUGGAAUUCCAUGUGUAGCGGUGAAAUGCGCAGAGAUAUGGAGGAACACCAGUGGCGAAGGCGAC
rnacentral:rRNA from 1 species